ACGAAAGUCCACAAAGUGGACGGAUCACUAAGGUGAUGAAACGUAAGUCCACAAAGUGGACGGAUCACUAAGGUGAUGAAACGUAAGUCCAAAAAGUGGACGGAUCACUAAGGUGAUGAAACAUAAGUCCACAAAGUGGACGGAUCACUAAGGUGAUGAAACGAAAGUCCACAAGGUGGACGGAUCACUAAGGUGAUGAAACGAAAGUCCACAAAGUGGACGGAUCACUAAGGUGAUGAAACGUAAGUCCACAAAGUGGACGGAUCACUAAGGUGAUGAAACGAAAGUCCACAAAGUGGACGGAUCACUAAGGUGAUGAAACGAAAGUCCACAAAGUGGACGGAUCACUAAGGUGAUGAAACGAAAGUCCACAAAGUGGACGGAUCACUAAGGUGAUGAAACGUAAGUCCACAAAGUGGACGGAUCACUAAGGUGAUGAAACGUAAGUCCAAAAAGUGGACGGAUCACUAAGGUGAUGAAACAUAAGUCCACAAAGUGGACGGAUCACUAAGGUGAUGAAACGAAAGUCCACAAAGUGGACGGAUCACUAAGGUGAUGAAACGAAAGUCCACAAAGUGGACGGAUCACUAAGGUGAUGAA